rnacentral:pre_miRNA from 1 species
UGUGGGAUAGCUGGGUCAAAUGGUAGUUCCAUUUCAAGUUUCUAAGGAAUCUCCAUACUGCUUUCCAAAUUGGCUGCAUCAAUUUUCAAUGCUACCAGCAAU